rnacentral:rRNA from 1 species
AUUGAACGCUGGCGGCAUGCUUUACACAUGCAAGUCGAACGGCAGCACGGGCUUCGGCCUGGUGGCGAGUGGCGAACGGGUGAGUAAUGCAUCGGAACGUACCGUGUAAUGGGGGAUAACGUAGCGAAAGUUACGCUAAUACCGCAUACGCCCUGAGGGGGAAAGCGGGGGAUCGUAAGACCUCGCGUUAUACGAGCGGCCGAUGUCGGAUUAGCUAGUUGGUGGGGUAAAGGCCUACCAAGGCGACGAUCCGUAGCGGGUCUGAGAGGAUGAUCCGCCACACUGGGACUGAGACACGGCCCAGACUCCUACGGGAGGCAGCAGUGGGGAAUUUUGGACAAUGGGCGCAAGCCUGAUCCAGCCAUGCCGCGUGAGUGAAGAAGGCCUUCGGUUGUAAGCUCUUCUAGACGGAAA